rnacentral:rRNA from 1 species
ACGCUCGACACCUACGGGAGCAGCAGUGGGGAAUAUUGCACAAUGGGGGAAACCCGUGAUGCAGCGACGCCGCGUGGAGGAAGAAGGUCUUCGGAUUGUAAACUCCUGUUGUUGGGGAAAAAGAAGGAUGGUACCCAACCAAGGAAGUGACGGCUAACUACGUGUCAGCAGCCGCGGUAAUCUGAGCGGGCUGGCAAGGC